GACGAACGCUGGCGGCGUGCUUAACACAUGCAAGUCGAACGAGAAUCUAUGGAAAGAGGAUUCGUCCAAUUGAAAUAGGGGACAGUGGCGGACGGGUGAGUAACGCGUGAGGAACCUGCCUUUCAGAGGGGGACAACAGUUGGAAACGACUGCUAAUACCGCAUAACGCAUAGAGGUCGCAUGGCUUUUUAUGCCAAAAGAUUUUAUCGCUGAAAGAUGGCCUUCGCGUCUGAUUAGCUAGUUGGUGAGGUAAC
rnacentral:rRNA from 1 species